rnacentral:snRNA from 1 species
AUCACUUCUCAGCCUUUUGGCUAAGAUCAAGUGUAGUAUAUGUUCUUAUUAAUUUAAUAAAAGCACCAGUGGCUCGUUAGCGGCUCCCUAGGUCAAUGUUUUAUAGGGAAUUGUACAUUAGAAGAAGUGAGAUAUUCAGCAAAGCAUCCUCU